rnacentral:rRNA from 1 species
AUUGAACGCUGGCGGCAGGCCUAACACAUGCAAGUCGAACGGUAACAGGAAGAAGCUUGCUUCUUUGCUGACGAGUGGCGGACGGGUGAGUAAUGUCUGGGAAACUGCCUGAUGGAGGGGGAUAACUACUGGAAACGGUAGCUAAUACCGCAUAACGUCGCAAGACCAAAGAGGGGGACCUUCGGGCCUCUUGCCAUCGGAUGUGCCCAGAUGGGAUUAGCUAGUAGGUGGGGUAACGGCUCACCUAGGCGACGAUCCCUAGCUGGUCUGAGAGGAUGACCAGCCGAACUGGAACUGGGCCGCGGUCCAGACUCCCACGGGGGGCAGCAGUGGGGAAUAUUGCACAAUGGGCGCAAGCCUGAUGCAGCCAUGCCGCGUGUAUGAAGAAGGCCUUCGGGUUGUAAAGUACUUUCAGCGGGGAGGAAGGGAGUAAAGUUAAUACCUUUGCUCAUUGACGUUACCCGCAGAAGAAGCACCGGCUAACUCCGUGCCAGCAGCCGCCGUAA